GUGGGUUCUCCUUUUCCCCCAGAAGGUUCUGUCAUGGUAAACUCUUCUUGCUGUUGGACAAUGAAUGCAAGGAACUCUCCCUCAUGGUCCCUCGAGAGCCAACACGCAGGAAGAUGGAGGUCUUCUUUACCGUGCCCAUUCUGGGAAGCCCCACAAGAGUGGGAUCAGCAGUUUGACAGUCUUAUGUCCCCUCCCUACUGCCAGAGUGGCCCCGGUGUCUAACGUUCUCCCUGGUCCGUGGUGAGACCUGCAUGUGGAGACAGGAAGCAAAUGGUGAAUGGUUUUUUGUGGAUGCUUUUGAAGUUCUCCAGCAAGGCCAGAAGCAAAUGAACAGUUCGUGGCAACCAAGAAGCGACUCAAACCUGUAUUUUCAACGUCUCUGUUAACAUGGGAAGAUACAAGUUUUGCCUUGUAGGCUGAUGGUACUUUCAAACUUGAUGGCGUGUUUCAUCAGAAAGAGACCAGCACAGUCAUACAAAGAGGUUGGGCUACCAUCGCUCGUGGUGUGGAAGGAAAGGCUACUAGACUAAAGAUGAAAAGCCAAGUGCAGGUCUCUACUUGGGGUGACAGCAUCUACAAUGGCCUUUGUGUACCUCAGCACUGACCCAUAGAUGGUCACCAACAGGACCUGGGUAGAGGGACAAAGCCACCAUGGAGUACAUCCCCACUACAUCACGAGUCUGAAGCAGGCGUAACAUGAACAGUGGGCUCAGGCCCAUUGGCAUCUUCAUGUUCAUGGAUGGCAUCCCCAGAAACAGAUCCUCAGGGACAUACUGUGGCUGCAAAUGCCACAGUGUGACUGCAAAGCCUGCUCGUGACUUUCUGAGGAACUGUGUUAACGAAGUCACAGUGGGUGAUCUGAUCAAUGUGAACAAGUCACACCUAAGGGCCUGCUCAGGUGACAAACACGUUGAUCUUGUCACGGGGUGAGAUCAGUCUCUCAAGAUUUUAAAUAAUGGGGAAAUUGAGAAAUAGGUUGUUCAAGUUGAAAAAGAAAAGGAAGAAUCAAAGACCAUUGUGAUGAGGUAAAACUUGGGUUGAAGCAGCUUUUAAGCUGCACCACAGUGAGUCUCAGUGGCAUGCUGGUCUCCCUCCAGCCAUGCAACCACCCUCAAAGUACCCAACAAACAGCUGUAAUUUUUAACCUUUAAAAAUGACUUCCGUGAUUGGUCUCAAAUCGUGACAACUCAGCAGUCAAUGUGAUAAAAUCUAGAAUGAUGUGGGAGAUGAGCUGCUGGGCAUUGCAAAGAUUUUGGUUAGAUUAACUGUCCAGGGAAGACCUCCCACUGUGGGUAGCACCAUUCCCUGGGCUGGGAUCUAGUCAGCUGAACUUAAGCAUUCGUUGUUUUCUGCUUUCUGCUUGUGAAUGCAAGUGACCAGCCAGUUCAGGCUCUGACCACCCAAAUUCAGGUUCCCCUCACCCCCAAAGCCAAGAUGAAUGACCCUUGAGCUAUGAACCAAUACAUGCCCUUCCUUUCUUAAAAUUGCUUUUAUCACAGCAACAAGUCACACUUCUCCUUUCUCUCAGCGAUUUUAUGUUGGGCUUUAUUUGAAAAAUAGAAGUUAUUCUUUAUACCUAAAGAGCCUAAAAGUUCAAAAAGUGAUCUCUCUCUCUCUCUCUCUCUCUCUCUCUCUCUCUCUCUCUCUCUCUGUGUGUGUGUGUGUGUGUGUCUUUGUCUCUCUCCUCUCUCUGUCUCUG
ensembl:lncRNA